GCUUUACAACAGCGCCGUGACAGAAAGCCAAUUUAACUUAAGAUCUCAUUUCUCUCUUGGCCUCCUGGUUUAACCCUACGAUAGAAAUCCGGGUUGCCUGCACAAGACCAGGAUAAACUUUCAAGUGUUUGAAGAAUACCGUUGCCUUCCUCUUAAUGUUUUCCACUUCAGAGUGAUCCAGUUCUUUCUCUGAAUAUGUUUUAGCAGGAAUUCCUGCGGAGGUGAAACACGUGUUUAAGAGUCUUGCACUCAAACGGCGGAAACAGGUAAGAAAAGAAAAAUUGUUCAGUCCUUAUUUGUUCUUAGUUCUCCAGAUUUUCAGACACGUUCCCGGGUUUAAUGGCAGGCAUCCCAUACGAAUUUGGAAUUUUUGCAUGCAAAUUACCAUCUACUAUGAAGACGUUAAGUUCAUACCUUACCAAAUCAUUUACAAGGAGACUCCUGUAAAAAUCAUAGGUAUCCUUCAAGAGCCUGCUGUAAAAAAAAUGUUUUCCUUCCUUCCUUCCUUCUCUCUC